GGUGUCAUUGGGAAUUCUGCCAUUGUCUUCAAUAAAAGCAGGACUGGACCCCUGAAAGAGCCAUAUUAUUGGAUUAUUCAAAGCUCUGGUUUGUGUCUCAGGCAGAGACAAAAAGGAUUCCAAAGGCUGCACCUGCACACCCUGCUCUGGAUAGAUGCCAGCUUCACAGUGGAUACAUGCCUGGGUCACAACACAUUUCAGAAAAGAGGAUCUGCAACAUUUCAAACAAAAAUUUCUCGAGAUGCCUUGGCAGAAUAGUCACAGGGAGUGAAUAUUCCUGAAUAUUCCAGUCAUUCUUAGGAUGUCAAAACAGUCCCAACUCUGGGAUCUUCUCCCAUGAACCCACAUGGCUGAGCCACCAAGACCAAACAUCAAAAGUUGCAGGAGUGGCAGCCUACCACUCCUUUCUGUUCCUGUUUUCCUCGGAUAAAGUCCACGGUCAUUCCAGUGCUCUUUCUCAUCACCAAGUGCUCGAAGUUCAUACCUCAGAGACAAUCUCAAUGGUAUUAAAAUCUUCUGUGUAACACCAUCAGUGAUUUCAUGCUUGUGAUGGAUGGCCUUGUAAUGCAUUACCGUGUCUUCAGAGAUAUUUGGGAUGCACAAUAGGCCCUUGAAGUGAAAAGGUGACAGUAAAUGCCAAUUUCCUUCUGGUUUUAUUUCAUACCCAAUGGACUAUGAAGUGGAUUGGAGUCAAUGAAGCAUUCUGGAGACUUCUACAAAUCAUGUUCCCAAUGAAGAAGUAGGAUAUGUAAAAUUUUUGCCUCCUAACAAAUAUAUAAGCUAAAAACUUUUGGGUUUGUAACUUGUUUGUUUUGAUCAAAUGAUCAUUGAAAUAAAAAAGAUGAAGACUGCCAAUUCAUUCAAUGACAGUUUGGAACCACAGGGUGGACUUGAAUUUGAAAGUCACUGUAUUAGUCCAAAGUCACAGAACUGAAGACAUUAAAAGGGGUCCUGUGAGAUACCAAACUCCUACAAAGCACACAAAAUUUAAUAUAUUUUUCCUCUAUUUUUCUCAUAAUUGUAAAUAGCUAAAGACACACAAAGACAUGCAGCUAAUCUCAUUCUUUUACUCUCUUGUGCAUUGAAUUCCUACAUUUUGUGAGACAACAUAUACAAGCAAGAACUCUGAGCCAAUGUUUUGAUAAUUUCAUCACUGUUUCAAUGUAAUGAAGCUGCUGGAGUAAAAUAAUCAUGGCACUCACGCUGCAUUUUGAAAAGAGCUAUUUUCCUUUUUAGGAACAACAGUAAAACAUGUUGUUCAGACAGCAGCCCAUAAGCACCACCAGCAUCAGAAUUUCAACCUUUCUUGAAACAGCAGCAAGCAGCAAGAGAAAGAACUCCAAAUAAAUUUAGUAGUAGAAUCCAGGAUACUUGCAACCGUUGUAAACUGCUUCUUCCAAAUCAAAGGGUGACAAGAGUUACAAAAGAGGACACACUAAACCAGAUUUCACCCAUCAUGGACCAAUAGAAAAAUCAAGUACAUCUCUGUCCUAGAUUCAUCAUAAUUAGUGAGAGGGUCUUGUAGGUAAGGGGAGAGAAGAAGAGGGAUAUUCUAGGAAUAUUUCUUCUUACAGUAUUGGUAUCUUCUGCUUUUUCCAGUUUUUUUGGGGGGUCAUAUUAAGAAAGAAGGAAUUCUAUAAUCAAUGUUCCAACAUGAGAAAGUCAGCUAAAAUAGAUGGCUUUUCCACUGCAGAUCUCCUUAUCAACACAGUAAUUUAAUAUCUACAACAGUUAAUGAAAUCUGAAGUGAUAUUUGACAUAAGUUUUUAAACCAAGGUGAGGGAAUAUCUUGCUGUCCAAGACUUUUUUCUGUGCUUAAGUGCCCAUGGCUUUCCUUUGGAAGCCAUUCAAGAUUUUCUUUUUCUUUUCUGUAGCUUUCCUGGUCUAGACCUAUAUUAAAUGAAGGAUUGUAAACCUUUCUCAGUAGAUGGUAGAGAAUAGCCAGACUUGUUAUCUCUCUGAUUAUUCUUGAAUUCUUAAAAGCAACAAUAGCAAUAAUAUGGAUUGGUCUCCCUCUAAUAUUAUGAUGAUGAUUUGGAGGUUUAUCUUUACCAAAUGAAACAAAUACAACAGUCUAAAGCUAAUUAUGUAUCUGGGCAACAUGAAGGAUGGAUAAAGAGUAGCUGCCUGAGCCACGCCUGAGUUAGAUUGGUGCAUGGAAGAAUAUUUAUUGAACGACUCUCCCAAGUCCAGUGCAGGCUUUUUCUUUUAAGUGCACACAACCUGUAGCAAGGUCAUGUUGUGCGUACUCCUUUAGUGUCCCGGGUGGUUCCCCAGUGCUGGAUGCUCCCACAGCAAUGUCCCCUCAGACAUCUGCUGGAGCAGUCCCUUCUUUCACCCCCACGGUGCUGUGGCCUUGCCCAUCACCAGGUGUUGGCUGAGGGCACAGCAGGCAAUGACCUGGCCCCUGCCAGCAAAGAAACAGCAGAAUUUAGGUGUACAGCCUUGCCCAACAGGGAGUGGAACACACAGCAUCUCCUCAGCCACAUCAAGUACCUCAGAGCUUCUCAAAGGACAUGGAGUCAUAUCUAAAAGGAGUAGCAACACCCUGGACACAAUCCAUAAGUUAGGCCUAAGUUAUGUUCAAGGCUAGUUUAAGCCACAGAAUUGUACAAUCAUAUCCUUUACCAGCUCUUUUUUUGUUUGUUUGAUGGAACUCACAUUGUGAUGAAGGCCACAUAGAGGACAAUACUUUUGCAGGGAUCAAAACAGUGGAAACAAACAAUUUUAGGAGUUAAGGAAUAUGACCUUUCUUACCAGCUUCUGCUUGAAGGACUGAAAAUAUGUUCUUUAGAGCAUUUGCAACAUUUCUUGGUUUAUUAUAGGCUAAUGAGGCAUGUGUUACCCCUAAACAGCAUGAAAAAACCUCAACCUUCUGCUGUGAAAAUUCAACCUUUUCAAGGUUGUCACUAGUCUACAACAAAAAAUAUCAGAUGCAGAGCUGAAAAUAAUGAACUGUAUAAAUAGACAUGUAGUUUCUUCACUUUACCCUCCUGAGUAUGCUCCCUAGGUACUUCACGCUGUGUCAGUUUUCAUUUGGUAAAGAUCUGUCCUAACAUUUGGAAAAUAAGAAAUGUAGUUCAAAUAAGACUUCUUGAAUAAGUUUGGAAGUGGUAUAAUAAAGUACCUGACUGAAGUUGCAUAAAAACUUUUUAAAAAUGUCUGUUGUACUUAUCUAUUCUUUUGCCAAAGAGAUUGACAAAGUUAAUACACAUGGUGUUCCUGAUGUUCAUGAGCAUCUUUUUUUCAGUAUUGUUACUCCAUUGUGUUCUUUCUCAUGUAAUU